rnacentral:misc_RNA from 1 species
UGGAGAUAGAAAUUUCUUAUACUCAAAUGUACUACAUUAUACAUUUGAAAAACAGAAAACGCAAAUAAGAUUAAAAACAUAAAUCUGCUUUUUAUCAAGUGAGACCAUUUAACAUAGGAAACACAAUUAAAGCAGCAACCCAUAAUUUUGUAGUACAUACAAUUUAAAUAAUAACUUAGACAUAACUGUCGAUCAAUGAUUUCCUCAUCUCAUCAACAAUAGCAGUAGGUUGAGCUUCUCUCAGCUUGAAAACACUUUCAAUAACAGAUAGCUCUGUUGCCGUAGUGUCCGAGCCAGUAAAUGCUGUCCAGUCAUUGACAGUCAAUCCAGCACCAAUCACUUCACUACCGCGGUUCACAGUUCCUGCAACCAGAGGAACCUGAAGAAGAGUUGAAAGCUCAUCCAAGUCUUCAAUGGACGUAUGAGGAUGUACCAAACCUCCUGUGUUUGAGAUAGCACAAUAGCUGCCAACAAGAAUAUUCCCUGCUAUUGUUUGCCUGAAAACUUCCACACCAAGAACAUCAGCAAUCAUCUCUUCCGUUUCCUUGUCAAGAUCUGUAUGUGUCAGAGCAACAUGAUCGUUGCAAGCAAUGCAGUUGCCCAGGGCAGAUAAUCGCUCAUCAAUGCGCUGGACCACAACUCCAUCUGGCAGACUGUUCCUCAAGUGCUGAAGUUCUUGAUCUGUAGUAGUGUGAGGCAAGAGAAGACCAUUUUUGUUUCCAGCGCAGAGUCUUCCAAUUAUCCU